rnacentral:rRNA from 1 species
UUAGACAAUGGGCGCAAGCCUGAUCUAGCCAUGCCGCGUGUGUGAUGAAGGUCUUAGGAUCGUAAAGCACUUUCGCCAGGGAUGAUAAUGACAGUACCUGGUAAAGAAACCCCGGCUAACUCCGUGCCAGCAGCCGCGGUAAUACGGAGGGGGUUAGCGUUGUUCGGAAUUACUGGGCGUAAAGCGUACGUAGGCGGAUCAGAAAGUAGGGGGUGAAAUCCCAGGGCUCAACCCUGGAACUGCCUCCUAAACUCCUGGUCUUGAGUUCGAGAGAGGUGAGUGGAAUUCCAAGUGUAGAGGUGAAAUUCGUAGAUAUUUGGAGGAACACCAGUGGCGAAGGCGGCUCACUGGCUCGAUACUGACGCUGAGGUACGAAAGUGUGGGGAGCAAACAGGAUUAGAUACCCUGGUAGUCCACACCGUAAACGAUGAAUGCCAGUCGUCGGGCAGUAUACUGUUCGGUGACACACCUAACGGAUUAAGCAUCC